rnacentral:rRNA from 1 species
UACGUAGGGGGCAAGCGUUGUCCGGAAUCAUUGGGCGUAAAGCGCGCGUAGGCGGCCCUGUAAGUCCGUUGUGAAAGUCAAAGGCUCAACCUUUGAAAGCCGAUGGAUACUGCAGGGCUAGAGUCCGGAAGAGGCGAGUGGAAUUCCUGGUGUAGCGGUGGAAUGCGCAGAUAUCAGGAGGAACACCAACAGCGAAGGCAGCUCGCUGGGACGGUACUGACGCUAAGGCGCGAAAGCGUGGGGAGCGAACAGG